rnacentral:rRNA from 1 species
CAGCAGCAGCCACGGGAAUACGAGGGGGGCAAGCGUUGUUCGGAUUUAUUGGGCGUAAAGGGUGCGCAGGCGGUUCGUUAAGACAGAUGUGAAAUCCCCGGGCUUAACCUGGGAACUGCAUUUGUGACUGUAUAGCUAGAGUACGGUAGAGGGGGAUGGAAUUCCGCGUGUAGCAGUGAAAUGCGUAGAUAUGCGGAGGAACACCGAUGGCGAAGGCAAUCCCCUGGACCUGUACUGACGCUCAUGCACGAAAGCGUGGGGAGCAAACAGGAUUAGAUACCCGUGUAGUCCCUGUCUCUUAUAC